CAGGUGGACGUCUGAGAGGCUGGCGUCAUUAUCCACUUGACGCCGCAUUUCAGCGCGUUGUCUGACGGAAAGGCUGGAUUAGUGAUCAAUCCCACACCGAAAACAUCAUUUUCAAGAAGUCAGUUAUGCCGACUAUCAAAAAAAAACUCCUCUUGGGAGGUCAGAAGUUCAAGGCCCUGGUUUACCAAGCUGGCUCGAUGAUGAGAAAACCACUUUUGGUGUUACAACGCUCCAGUAAAGCACAGCUGCAAUCACUAUAGGAGAGAUGGUAGGUUUGGUGUCCCAACGCCUCAUUACAAUGAUGGGAGAACCAUCUCCAGAUCUCUGCGGUGGCCCUGUGAAUCACUAAUGUAAACGUAUACACACACACACACACAUGCACCUUAACUUACUGUAUAUUUUUCUUAAUAGCUGAAGAUCUGAACAUACAGUGAUUUAUUGCAUUGA